rnacentral:rRNA from 1 species
CGCGUAGGCGGUUCUUUAAGUCGUGUGUGAAAUCCCUCAGCUCAACUGAGGACGUGCACACGAAACUGGAGAACUUGAGUCCGAGAGGGGAUAGCGGAAUUCCUAGUGUAGAGGUGAAAUUCGUAGAUAUUAGGAGGAACACCGGUGGCGAAGGCGGCUAUCUGGAUCGGAACUGACGCUGAGGCGCGAAAGCGUGGGGAGCAAACAGGAUUAGAUACCCUGGUAGUCC